GGUGGAGUCUUCCUGCAAUUAAAGUCAGGGGCGAAGUUCGGCUCCCGUAGGAGUCCGGACGAAGCUUACCAGCAGUUGAAGUUGGGGACGGAGCCCGGCUCCCGUAGGAGUCCGGGUGGAGUCUACUUGCAGUUAGAGUUGUGGGCGGAGUCCGGCUCCCGUAGGAGUCCGGAUGAGGUCUGUCUGCAGCCGUAGUCAAAGACGAGGCCCGACUCCCGUAGGGGUCCGGGUGGAGUCUUCCUGUAAUUAAAGUCAAGGGCGAAGUCCGGCUCCCAUAGGAGUCUGGACGAAGCUUUCCAGCAGUUGAAGUUGGGGACGGAGCCCAGCUCCCGUAGGAGUCCGGGCGGAGUCUACUUGCAGUUGGAGUUGUGGAUGGAGUCCGGCUCCUAUAGGUGUCCAGACGAUGCUUACCAGCAGUUGAAGUUGGGGACGGAGCUCAGCUCCCGUAGGAGUUCGGGUGGAGGCUACUUGCAGUUGGAGUUAUGGGCAGAGUCUGGCUCCCGUAGGAGUCUGGAUGAGGUCUGUCUGCAGCCAGAGUCGGGGACGAGGCCCGGCUCCCGUAGGGGUCUGGGUGGUGUCUUUUUGCAAUUAAAGUCAGGGGCGAAGUCCGGCUCCCGUAGGAGUCUGGAUGAAGCUUACCAGCAGUUAAAGUUGGGGACAGAGCCCAGCUCCCGUAGGAGUCCGGGCGAGGUCUACUUGCAGUUAGAGUUGUGGGCGGAGCCCGGCUCCCGUAGGAGUUCGGGUGGAGUCUACUUGCAGUUGGAGUUGUGGGCAGAGUCCGGCUCCCGUAGGAGUCCGAGCAGAGUCUACUUGCUGUUGGAGUUGUGGGUGGAGUCCGGCUCCCGUAGGAGUCCGAAUGAGGUCUAUCUGCAGCCGGAGUCGGGGACGAGGCCCGGCACCCGUAGGGGUUCGGGCGGAGUCUUCCUGCAACUAAAGUUAGGGGUGAAGUCCGGCUCCCGUAGGAGUCCGGACGAAGCUUACCAGCAGUUGAAGUUGGGGAUGGAGCCCGGCUCCUGUAGGAGUCCGGGUGGAGUCUACUUGCAGUUGGAGUUGUGGGCGGAGCUCGGCUCCCGUAGGAGUCCGGGCGGAGUCUACUUAUAGUUGGAGUUGUGGGCGGAGUCUGACUCCCAUAGGAGUCCGGACGAGGCUUACCAGCAAUUGAAGUUGGGGAUGGAGCCCUGCUCCCGUAGGAGUCCGGGGGGAGUCUACUUGCAGUUAGAGUUGUGGGCGAAGUCCGGCUCCCGUAGGAGUCCGGAUGAGGUCUGUCUGCAGCCGUAGUCGAAGAUGAGGCCCGGCUCCCGUAGGGGUCCGGGUGGAGUCUUCCUGCAAUUAAAGUCAGGGGCGAAGUCUGGCUCCCAUAGUAGUCUGGACGAAGCUUUCUAGUAGUUGAAGUUGGGGACGGAGCCCAGCUCCCGUAGGAGUUCGGGCGGAGUCUACUUGCAGUUGGAGUUGUGGACGGAGUCCAGCUCCUAUAGGUGUCCAGACGAUGCUUACCAGCAGUUGAAGUUGGGGACGGAGCUCGGCUCCCGUAGGAGUUCGGGUGGAGGCUACUUGCAGUUGGAGUUGUGGGCGGAGUCUGGCUCCCGUAGGAGUUUGGACGAGGUCUGUCUGCAGCCAGAGUCGGGGACGAGGCCCGGCUCCCGUAGGGGUCUGGGUGGAGUCUUUUUGCAAUUAAAGUCAGGGGCGAAGUCCGGCUCCCGUAGGAGUCUGGACGAAGCUUACCAGCAGUUAAAGUUGGGGACAGAGCCCAGCUCUCGUAGGAGUCCUGGCGAAGUCUACUUGAAGUUAGAGUUGUGGGUGGAGCCCGGCUCCCGUAGGAGUCCAGGCGGAGUCUACUUGCAGUUGGAGUUGUGGGUGGAGUCCGGCUCCCGUAGGAGUCCGGGCGGAGUCUACUUGCAGUUGGAGUUGUGGGUGGAGUCCGGCUCCCGUAGGAGUCCGGACGAGGUCUGUCUGCAGCCGGAGUCGGGGAUGAGGCCUGGCUCCCGUAGGGGUUCGGGCGGAGUCUUCC
rnacentral:lncRNA from 1 species